AAACCAAAGAAUAAUGAGCUGGGAGAGAUUGUCUAGCACUGUGCCGGCUCUGCGUGCCCGCUCUUGUUUGUAGCCUGUAUUAAUGAGAAGAAGCCACUGGUGCUACAGGCAGUGUGGAUUCUGAACUGUCUGGUAGCUGCUCAGCUUCUGUCAGCCAGGAUCAAAGCCAGGGGGUGCAAAAGGGAAUGGAAGAUUCAGAUUUCCCUCUCCCCCACUGCUCAUUCCAGCUUGAGGUGGACAGUUGAAUAAGUAGCUACAGCCUCCAUUGUAGAAGAUUGAGAGUAAGGAUCCAGACCAUUUUAGCUCGAGUCAAAGCACUUCUUUAAACCAACAAUGCAAGAGUGGAGCUGACUGGGAAUUUGUCGACAAAACUUUUGUUGGAAAAUGCCAAUUAGUUGAAACCGAAACUUCCUGGGAGGGGGCCAAUUUCGACAAAUUUUGCACUUCGAACAGAAUUUGAUUUAUUUUCCGAAGGGAUGUGGAUGUAAUGAGCAGGGUGUGGUUCACAAUUCAGCCUACUGCUAUUCUUGAGACAGAGCCGGGGGUCACCAACGCCAAAUGAACUUGGAGAAGAUUUUAUGGGUUCCACUCUGGUAGUCACAAUGGUGUGGAAUUAGAACAGAAAUAAGAUUCUGGAAGUAGGACCUUCAAUUAUUAUAGAAAACGGGCCCAAUUCUGGAAAACGCUCCCUCUAUAUUUGCACCGAUGGAGAGUUUUGGGCCCUUUAUUGACGCCACUGUUGCCCUGACAGGUGAAGUGACUUUGUAAGAGGAGCCACGUGCCGGCUGUGGCCUGACUGCCCUGAGCUGAAAACACUGUGCGGUUGAACAUCGCCCCUUGUAUUCAAGCCUGAUUCAGGAAACGCACACGUGGAUUGGCCAUCAAACCAAGAAACCUAGUUGUGAGAUUUCUGUGACAGGGCCAGAAAACUCUGCAGUCUCUCCCACUUUCCUUUGGGACCUAACGCCUGAUGACAGUAAACCAGAUUCGACAAAAGGUUCAGCAAAGGAUCCCCCUGCCACCUGCUCUAAGGUGGGGUAAGUGGGUGUACAGCACCCUGUGCAGUGAACCCAACGUCCAGGGGCACUGGGCUGAGCGCCAGCGAGAGACAGAAUCAACCAAGCUGAUUUCCAGAGGAAGAUCAUGGCUGCACAAGUCAAUGGGAAAACAUCUGAACUCUACAGACGAUUGAUUAUGGGAUGUGUGUGAGCUUAACAAAAGCAUAUGACAAAGGAAUUCCUGUCCUAUUUGGACAGAUGUAGAUGGCUGGAAUUAAUACCUGCCUGGAAUUAUCACAGGAUUUUAUGAAGACUGCAAGUAUUUUGUAAAAGCCAAGGGAGAAUUGUUGGAGUGACUCUGUGUCAAAAUAAGUCUUUGUCGGAGAUAUACUCUGUCUCGCUGGUUAUUUAACAUCGCUCCAGAAGCUAUAGAGAAUUUGAAUAUGAUAAGGUUGUCCUUUAACCAGCAUUUUGAAAGAGCAAGUCUUCCAACGAUGUAACCAUUAUUUAUUAAUCCAAAGCCCCAAAAAGAAAGGAAAAUGAAAGAGAUGGAAAUUAGACAGCAGAAAAAUCUGAUCACACGUAUGCAACUCAAUAAAGACGCAGACUCUGAUUCUGGGUUCACACUGGUCAUUCACGAGUAGCUCUGCUGAGGGCAAUGGAGUUAUAAUAGGAUCAAAAGCAGACCUGCCAUUGCUAGACCUGCAAAGUGAUACGAGAAGUGGAUGGACCCGAGUUCAUGGAAUCCCUAUUUUAACUCUAGAAAUGGGUGAGAGAGGAGGUGAUACUGUAUGACAAUGCAAUAGAGUAAAAUGAAGCAACUCCAUAAUUAGGCAUUUUUAAGACUGGUGAAAACAGAACUGCCGUAAAAAUUAUGAAAGCAAGAGAUUCUAGUAUAUGAGUCUCUGGAAGCCUGAGAAAUGGGUGAAUAAGAAAGAAAGGAAUUUAUAGGGAAAGACAAAAAAGCACUCGUUAGUGGAUGUUGUAAGGCUAAUCAGAGACAGCUUUCAGCUCUUCAUAUCGCGUCACUCAAAUAGGGACAGCACAAGGCCCAAAGCAAGGCAAAGAAAGACACAAAUGAAAUUUGUAGGGACUGAAUCCACAAGAAGCGACACUGACAAAACCAUAUGUGAGUUGGCUCAUUGACUGCAGUGGGGAUUGGGCCCUGUGCUGU